AGUGAACGCUGGCGGUAGGCCUAACACAUGCAAGUCGAACGGCAGCACAGUAAGAGCUUGCUCUUACGGGUGGCGAGUGGCGGACGGGUGAGGAAUACAUCGGAAUCUACUUUUUCGUGGGGGAUAACGUAGGGAAACUUACGCUAAUACCGCAUACGACCUACGGGUGAAAGCAGGGGAUCUUCGGACCUUGCGCGAUUGAAUGAGCCGAUGUCGGAUUAGCUAGUUGGCGGGGUAAAGGCCCACCAAGGCGACGAUCCGUAGCUGGUCUGAGAGGAUGAUCAGCCACCCUGGAACUGAGACACGGUCCAGACUCCUAAGGGAGGCAGCAGUGGGGAAUAUUGGACAAUGGGCGCAAGCCUGAUCCAGCCAUACCGCGUGGGUGAAGAAGGCCUUCGGGUUGUAAAGCCCUUUUGUUGGGAAAGAAAAGCAGCAGGUUAAUACCCCGCUGUUCUGACGGUAACCAAAGAAUAAGCACCGGCUAACUUCGUG
rnacentral:rRNA from 1 species